CGGGGAAGCAGCCCAGAAGGGGAUUAGAAGAUCUGUGGAGACAGAGCUGGAGUAACUGUCUUCACCCUGCCACCUCCAUGGGGCUGUAUAACAAAAUUACAAAAGCCACCCAGGGGAUGAGUUCUGGCAUUAUCUACUUCCUUCCCUGGCUCUGCCUGGAUUCUGGAGCUCCUCUCUGGAGAGGCUGAAAUCCAGAUUUAAGAGGGCACUUAUUCAAGCCGUAUU
rnacentral:lncRNA from 10 species